rnacentral:lncRNA from 10 species
CAAGUUUCUAACCAAGAUUUUCUUAGUCACUUUCUUUUCAUAGAGAUGGAGUCUUGCUGUGUUGCCUAGGCUGGUCCUGAACGCCUGGGUUUCAACAAUUCUCCUGCCUUGGCCUCGCAAAGCAUUGGGAUUACAGGUGUGAGCCAUGGCGCCCAGCCACUUUGUUUAUUUUUGAACGAAGAAAAUAUCUAAUACCCAAAUCUGUAUAAUCAUAUUUUGUCAGUUGUUCUUUCAUGUACAAAUUGUGUUCCAUGAAAAAGGAGCUAGUCCAGCUCACCACUGAAACACGUGCACAAGAGCUUUUCCUGAAGGCAAGCAUUGUGCUUCGUCUUGGAGCAGAAUGCUUUCUAUGUACCCCUCAUCUUGACAUGUAGAAUGUUAAAAAGUUGUGUAUUCAAGCACUGCAGUUUAACAAAAUUAAUAAUUUUUACUGUCAUCAAGGACAUAUUUUUUCCUCUUUUGGACAAGCAUGUGGCCAUGAUGAGCGCCGUGACUGCCAGUGUGGCUUGCUGUCUCUGCCUUCGUUGUGUAAGUGUUGGGCCAGUUUCACCGGGCAUUGCUCUGACACCGUCAAUGUAAAUGUCAGCACAGUGUUCCAGAAUAAAUCAUGAGAUUUUAAAAGCCAUUCCACAGCCUGAAUAUUUCAACAUCACUUGUGUUUGCUGUCAAGAAGUCACAGAAAAGACCUUCUUUGGUGAUAAGUUAGUGCUGAUGCCAGACCGAUGCAAGUACAUAGCAACUCUAGCUAUGUCUAGAGUCUUCCAUUUGUAAGGAAAAAGCACAAUUCUGCCAACAAAAUAUUAACUCGAUCUUCAUGUUUGCAGCUCAGUAUUUAUUCAGUGAGUUACCAUAUCAUUGGGAAGUGGCAAUGCUGUGAUUUCUUCCAUUGACUUUUCAGCCAGCAGCCAUGAGCGAUGUCCACGUUCAUGGCUAUACUCUUCUCUUGGUUGUUGUACAGGCUUCUCCAGCCAGUGCGAUGCGGCGACUCUGUAAGAUGCUUCAUUGGCUUUUUCAUUUCUGCUUUGAAAAGCUGCAACAAACAAUUUUUGGCUUCUAA